ensembl:lncRNA
CGGGACUGUGCUGCCUUCUGCGGGGAUAUGGCGGGGCAGGUCUCCCCCAGGGGCCUCACCCGCUCCGUGGCUCAUAGACUAAAAUAUUACAUUGACGUUCAAAGAAAAGAAGAUAGUUUUGAUUUAUCAGGAACUAGCAGGAAUGAGGCUGAAAGUUGCAGUUUCUAUAUACAUCCUGGAAGCUUUGCUGAACAAAAAUAUGAUCAGUGUCUCAAGCAUAAUUUUACAGAUUGUAAAUUCGAAGCAUCUCUUCGAAUGUAUACAGGAAAUUCUGAAGAAUGUGAAAGAAAAUUACAGAGCAGCCCAGAAAGACAACAGGAAAUUAAGAUAAUCAAAAAGAAAAUGGCACAAGAUGUUGUAACUGACAGACCUUUCCUGGUCUUAGUAAGGAGUACAAAAAGAACAAAGAAGUUGCACAGCUUCCCUUCCAGACUAUCUCAAUUUCCUCCUUCCCCAUACACAUCACAAGAAGAAGUCAUGAGGCUCAUUUCAUCAGCUUCAAAGCUAAUUGUUGCGGCGACUUGUGAAAUCUCUUCGGAGGAAAUAAAGAAGCCAGACUGUGCCUCACCCCAAAAGAGGAAAGAAGCUAAAAAUAUUCAGAGAUUGGACCAUUACUACAAGCAGUGUGCACCUCAUCCUGUGAUCUCUCCAGAUCCCCAUGAAUAUGAAGCUAAGAGUACACGGGAAACGAACAAAUUAGAAGAAUCAAAUGCUGACUUUAUCCAAGAAAAUUCAAGGAAUGAUUAUGGGAAAAAUGUGAACAAAGACAAGAAAGAAGAAAACAGUAGAAAUGUAAAUGGACUGGUCAGAGUUGAGAGAUCAUCUAAUAUUUCCAGUAACAAAUCUAAACAUAAGAGUGUACUUUCUAAAACUUCUACAAGAGCAAGUGAUUUAAAUUCAUUGUACUUAAGUAACAUAUCUCCUUAUGCACAACGAACUGACAGAAGUAAAGCUUCUAAAAAAAAUGUGCUUAAUGAAGGAGCGUCCUCUGCCUUGUGCAGCUCUUCAGUGAUGUCUGAAUGCCAAGAUACAGAGCCAAGUACUGGCCGUAUAUCAGGCAUGACAAGCUUUGCUCACUCUCAGAAAACUAAAAGCAUCUCUAGGUGGCUCUGUAAGUCAUCUGAAUUCAAAAGGCAAAAGUCAGCCCAGGUGCCUAGUAGAAAGCAUUCAGGCAUCAGAGGUAGUAAGUCUAGCAAGCUUUCACAGGGAAGGCCAAUGGAGAACUCCCGGAAUAUGCCACUACAUCAAAAAAAAAGAAAAAAUAGUGAAGGAAACAGGGAAUUAAAUGUUUCCACAAAUGCACAGACCGUAAUCAUAAAUGAAAACACGGGAGAACAAACAGCUUCUGUUGUGGCUCUUAAAUGUGGCAUUCACCACAGCCAAAAUAACACAAGUAACAGCCUUCAUCAGAGACCUCAAAGUAACCAGCACGAAAAAAAGAAGAAAGAUUUGUGUGAAUUAGCUACAGGAAAAAAUACCGAAUCCCAUAAGGUCCAUUUCCAAGGUCCAUUGCAGUUUUCCAGAAAUACUGAACAGAAAUGUAGCUGUGUAAACUUGAAUAGUUGUAACAUAACAAGCGACUAUGGAAUUCAAACCAUUGCUUCAGAAAGUAAAUCUUUAGGGACUGUGACACAUCUUCCAGAGAAUGAAAAUGAAGAACACCUUUCUAGGGUCACACUUGGAGCACCUUCCUUUUUACAUCAAGUUUUCCUGGAAAUGGAGCAAGAUGCAUCACCUACUUCAACUGCAUCUGAGCCUAAAGAUCUGGACAGCAGUUUAGAAAAUAAAAGUAUACAACAAUUAUCUAACCAGCUUUUCAUCCUUAAUGAAUCCACAGGAGACAAGAAGGUUCAGGAUACUAUCAGUAAUGUACAUACAAGUGACAGUAUUUUAACAGACCCAUGUGAUUGGCAAAUGGCACACAUCCCACAGAAGGUUCAGUGUUGUUGCACCUGUGCAGAAGAACCACCUAACUUUAUAUCUGAAACAUCUGAUGAAGAACAAGACAGUUUCUCAGAUUCAUCUGUGACAGUAACAAGUUUUUUAGGUGCAUUAGAAAACCAACAGUCAGAAGAGGAGUUCACUGUAUCAUCUGUAUCUGAUAGCCUGAGUCUUGGAUCAUUAUACGACGUACAUGAACAGAUGGAAAAAAACAAUUGUGUUGACCUAAAAGAGGAGGAAAACUCAGACUCCAGCACAGGCCAUCUUGAUCAAAGAGUUCUAGAGGAAAUGCAGAAGAUUAGCACCUCUGAGAGGCUCUCUCAGACAGACUCCAUCCAUUUCAGUUCUACAGAUGAAGAAGGGAGAGCAAAUGUGGAUCGUGCACUUAAGAGUGUCAGUACCAGUCAAGUACUGUAUUUCUGUCAUUUUCCACGUUACGUUAGUACAUAACUUAUCAGAACAGAUGUCAAAGCUGUUGCUCGUUGUCAAUACAGUUAGCUCUAGACAACAAGGCUUCAGCAGUGCAGAUGGACUUCCCUGUAGAUGCUACUGAUGCCUGUGGAAGCCAGCCCAAUGGAAGUGACAAUAACAUCAUGUUGCCUUAAGUGUGACCCAGAUUUUUAAACUUGUUAGUACUAAAAGCCAACCAUUUAGUAAAAGUGUGUAUCCUAAGUGAGAUUCACUGAACACAAGAGUAAUCCAGAUCCAAUUAGGCCUUGGCCCUGAAGUCUGUGGUAAAACUCACAUUGCCUUUAUUUGUACAGGAUCAAUCCUUCUGUUAGUUUCUUCAGAGCUGAAACUGACUUGGAAAUGGUGAUAUUCAAUUCUCAUAACAUUUUAACAUGGUUUGACUCAUGCGAUUCUUUUCCCCCUAAAGUGCACAAACAUUUAAAUGUGGUAAAGAUUUUAUUUUUAGCUUUAGAUUUAAAGCAAAUUUGGCAAGUAAGCUCUGUGCUUAAGUUUUGCAGCCUUAUUAGUAUAAUUCUGAAAUGGUGAAAAAGAGCAAUUCCGUAUGACAAGAAGAGGUAGUAUUUAAUAUAAGCCUAAGCAGUUUAAAGAAGCAUUUUGUGAACCCAACUUAUUUUCACUGUUACUUUAUCAUAGAAAAACAGCAUUUUAAACAAGUUUUUAAAAAGUUUUAGUAAUUAAAUCUUUUAAAAAAUAACUUUAAAUACUAUGGCACUGUUGAUUAUAAAAAUAACUAAUAAUUUACUUUGCAUCAGGACAAAACCUACUGUUACAUGAAUUUUGGGGGGAUUUCAUAAAUAAGACUGAUGGUCUCAGAUGGGAUCAUACUCAGGUGCCUUAGCCCCUCCACAGCCUGGCUACAUUGCUAUUUUUAGCAUGCUAGUUUGAUCAGAACUAUCUUGGAUAGGUCUCCUCGAGGUGAAAUUUACAAUUUCUAACUCCAGUGCUGACAUACCCUCAGAUCCUGUGUUGAGUUUGCAGAGCCAGCUAUUAGGGCAUUUUUUUUUUUAACUUCUUCACAAAAUACAUAGUGUAUUCAUUUUCUUUAAAGGAAAGUAUAUUUUAACAGUUUAAGAAAUAAUAAAGGAACAGGAUCUCAGCUGGUGUAAAUUGGC